CUUUGGAUCAGUAUAUCACCUCUACUGGGACACUGAGCUGCUGAAAUCAAUGGAUUGGAGCCAACACAGCAGAGAAAACAUCUGGAGGCAGUUCAGAGUCUGCUGUAGGAGACCACAGAUAUUCAGGGUUGUGGGGAGAGCAUGUGCAGCAGGGGCAGCUGCACAUUAGACAUAGAAGGUGGCAGAGUGCUAACGUUAUGGCUGAUGUCUGACAGAUGCAAAGAUGGCCACUCCCAACCGCACGGCUCAGAAAGAAGGAAGUGAACUCCACAGGCCGCUGCCAGUCACUGAGCGGGAGCUAUGCGCCUCUCCCUCACACUUCAAAACAACUCUGUUAGCCUACCAUGCGACAACAUGGGACACGGUCAAAAUAAUCCACAGCCUGACAAAAAUGCUUGGAGAUGCGCUGGGCUCGGCUGCCUAAAUUAAUGGUGUUUAGGGCUUCCUGUCAUCAUCAGAAAAAGGAAGUACAGAAGUGAGUGGGUGAGCAUGAGUAUGUGUGUGUGUACAUACCCUAGCGUGUGAGUUUCUCACUAUGUGUGUGAGUUUCGAUGUGUGCUUCCGGGUGAGAGAGGGGAGGAUGGGUGGAGGUUGACCACAAGAAGGAUGCGUGGCCUGUGUGAGCAACUGGUCAGCCUUGGAAGCAGGUGUGAAGGUUCCAGGGACUGAAUAAUGUUCUCUAUUUCUUCAGGUCUGGGGAUGAUUGUCUUUAUUACCUGGAUGGUUUUACUCCUGUGUUUCUGGACUACCACAUCUGUUUUUAAUUUCCUCUCAAUUACAAUAGCAAUAUAUGUUCAAUGAAGACAAUUUGGAGUAGAAGACAGGGAAAAUAAAACUGGUGCAUAAUUCAUGUCACCUUACAAUAAUCACCAUUAGUCGGGUGUUAUACAGUCCUCCACAUACUGGUAUUGCAACGCUCAGAUGUUACUUUGAGUAUCCCUUCACUGUUGUUUCAUCUUUUAUUUGCAUAUCCUUGUGUGUGCCUAACCCUCAUUGGAUAUUCAGGCUUUGCUGCCUCUCUUGGGCAAUUCUUGAUCUUCCUGCUGGCUGUCAUACAUUGAUUUGCCCACAGUGUCUUUGAGUGGCUUUUCCAAGUCUUCUUUUCAGAGUCUGGUAAUUCUGUAAAGUUGCUUUUUGCUCCUCUCCCGUCCCACCCCCCCCUUCAUGCCCUAAUGGAAAAGCACUUGCUUUUCUUUAAAAAAAAAUCUGUGUGAUAUUGGUUUGGGCAUUUUUAAAAAACAUUCGAUAUCUAGUGAUUUUGAGUGAGAUUGAGCAGUUUUACACUGCCAGCAAGAGGGGAAGCCAAGAGCUUGGUGCUGCUUUUGUUCUAUGAACCUUCUCACACUACCCACCAAAAUGGCCCUACAAGCACAAGAAACUGCUCUCCCUGAGCUGGCAUGGCAGGUGGUGCUUGAAUACAUCCUGAUGGAGGCAGGUAUUUGUAUCGAUGAUCCCAGAUUCUUCGGUCUUUACAUUAUCCGUGAAUUAGAACAAAUACAGUAUAUAACUCCUACAUGUAUACUGCAGCAUCAGCGAGUACAACUUUCCAGUUAAUGUGCGUGAAACUGCUCAAUGGUCCUCCUCCCUGCAGUGAAGCUGCCACUCCAGCAGUGCCCCAUCCACAUACAGCAUCCCAGACCUUCUCACAGACAGAGUGACCGCGGUGGUCUGCACAAACUCAAUCUGAGAUGAAGCGUGCUGGACACAAGGCAGGCCUUGAUAGUGUUACUAUUUGCCUAUCAAUGAGAGAGAUGAGAAGUUCCAACUCAAUUAAGCAGCGUGUACUUCCCAUGCAAAUUUGCUGAGCCAUUUCCUAGCUCCAGGAGUUCACAGAAAUAUACCUUCACAUGCCUUUGCCACAUUUUACAACUUAGAUGGGAAGGAGUUUCCUUGACUCCCCUAGAUGUGUAACUAGACUCCACCCUCCUCUCAUCUGGACAACUAAUGGACCUGUGAUGGAUGAGUAUGAAAUUUGUUGCAAAUACUUGAGAGAUAUAAUGUUCCCCGUGGAGGAAAAAGAUAAUAAAUAUAUUUUUGAGCUGCGGAAAGUAACUAGAGAAAUCCAUGUUACAUGACUUCUCUCUACACCUGCCUAACCUUACAGAGACCUGAGUUAUAAUUAAAGAAUACAGAAAUGGAGUCUGAGGAAUAUCAGUGUAUAUUCUGAUCACACUACUGGGGGAUUUCCAUUUUACAUAGCAGAAUCAGCCUGAAAAAUCUUAUUUAUGAUAGCUUGCUUACGGUGAACAGAAUUCUCAAAGUCUGCCUUUCUGAUUUAUCAAAUUAUCUCCAAAUGUCACAUUCCAAAUGUUCUAUUUCCUUUUGUUACUCCUAAUGACUUUGUACUAGAUGUUUUCUUCUGUCACUCCAAGAAUCUGAAUAUAUUAAUUUGUGUUUAUUUGUUGGACAAAAUCAUUGUAAGAUAGCAAAAAUACUGCAUAAAUAAAAAG